GAUCCGGCCUGCAUCUGCCUCCUUCCUGAACAGGCCAGAGAAUUCAUCUAAAUAGCCUAAGCAGGCUGGGUGCUGUGGCUCACCUGUAAUCCCAACACUUUGGGAGGCCGAGGUGGGCAGAUCACCUGAGGUCAGGAGUUCAAGGCUAGCCUAGCCAACAUGACAAAACCCCAUCUCUACUAAAAAAAUACAAAAAUUAGCCAGGCAUAGUGGCGCCUAUAGUUCCAGCUACUUGGGGGGCUGAGGUAGGAAGAUCGCUAGAGCCUGGGAGGUUAAGGCUGCGGUGAGCUGUGAUUGUGCCACUGCACUCCAGCCUGGGUGACAGAGCAAGACCCUGCCUCAAAAAUAAAUAAAUAAAUAAAUAAAUAAAAAUAAGAGUGCUUGGCAGCUUGAUCAAGCUAUGCCAGGAACCCAUCUCUCAAGCAGCAGCUCUUCUCCUGUGCCAUUGUCAGCUUUGUCCUGUCUGAGUCCAUGGGACUCUUCUGUUUGAUGGUGGUCUUCCUCAUCCUCUUCAUCAUGU
rnacentral:lncRNA from 10 species